AUUGAACGCUGGCGGAAUGCUUUACACAUGCAAGUCGAACGGCAGCACGGACUUCGGUCUGGUGGCGAGUGGCGAACGGGUGAGUAAUACAUCGGAACGUGCCCAAUCGUGGGGGAUAACGUAGCGAAAGCUACGCUAAUACCGCAUACGAUCUAAGGAUGAAAGCGGGGGAUCGCAAGACCUCGCGCGAUUGGAGCGGCCGAUGGCAGAUUAGGUAGUUGGUGGGUAAAGGCCUACCAAGCCGACGAUCUGUAGCUGGUCUGAGAGGAUGAUCAGCCACACUGGGACUGAGACACGGCCCAGACUCCUACGGGAGGCAGCAGUGGGGAAUUUUGGACAAUGGACGCAAGUCUGAUCCAGCCAUUCCGCGUGCAGGAUGAAGGCCCUCGGGUUGUAAACUGCUUUUGUACAGAACGAAAAGGCUCUGGUUAAUACCUAGGGCUCAUGACGAUACUGUAAGAAUAAGCACCGGCUAACUACGUGCCAGCAGCCGCCGCGG
rnacentral:rRNA from 1 species